CUCGUCGUCUCCGUUAGGUUUCAGGUCCACAGCUGAGAACCCGUGGACCUUUGAGGACGGACAGAACUGGAAGUUCAACCUGCAGAGACACAGACUCAUUAUUCACACAGACAACAACAGUGAGUGUGUGUGUGUGUGUGUGUGUGAGUGUGUGUGUCCCUUACCCAAGGUCCUCAACACUGAGGGGGGGUCCGGAGCCCAGCGGGUUCCUCAGCAUCAGGUCCUGCAGUCUGGUGUUCUUCUCAUCUUCGGAUAAACUCUUACUGGCCAGAAUCUGCCUCCUCUUCACCGCCAGCUCCUUCACCUCCUUCAGGAAGCUCGCCCUGCAGGAGGAAGAGGAGGAAGAGGAGGUCAUGUACAGUGCCUGUGACCAGAAAUACUCUCGAUAAUGAACGGCCGCUGUCUCCGCUCUCACCUGUGUGGGUUGACGAGCUGGAAGUCAUCCCAGGUGAGGAUGCCGUGGUACCAGGCCGGCGGUUUGGGUUUCGGGGGGUCCAUAAUGAACUCGGACUUGGAGUCC